GAUGAACGCUGGCGGCGUGCCUAAUACAUGCAAGUCGAGCGAACGGACGAGAAGCUUGCUUCUCUGAUGUUAGCGGCGGACGGGUGAGUAACACGUGGAUAACCUACCUAUAAGACUGGGAUAACUUCGGGAAACCGGAGCUAAUACCGGAUGAUAUUUUGAACCGCAUGGUUCAAAAGUGAAAGACGGUCUUGCUGUCACUUAUAGAUGGAUCCGCGCUGCAUUAGCUAGUUGGUAAGGUAACGGCUUACCAAGGCAACGAUGCAUAGCCGACCUGGGAGGGGGAUCGGCCACACUGGAACUGAGACACGGUCCAGACUCCUACGGGAGGCAGCAGUAGGGAAUCUUCCGCAAUGGGCGAAAGCCUGACGGAGAAACGCCGAGUGAGUGAUGAAGGUCUUCGGAUCGUAAAACUCUGUUAUUAGGGAAGAACAUAUGUGUAAGUAACUGUGCACAUCUUGACGGUACCUAAUCAGAAAGCCACGGCUAACUACGUG
rnacentral:rRNA from 1 species